rnacentral:ribozyme from 13 species
AGGAAGAGUAGAAAGCUUAAAAGAGGGAGAAAGAGAAGAAUCUGGUCCUGCUUUUUCGUCUUCUUCUUCAACUACUUCUUCCUCUUCAUUUUCUUCAUUUUCUUCCAAACUCAAAAAAACCAACAUGAUGAGUAAGGUGAUGACAAAAAUUAAAACAGUGGCGGCGAAAUUCCGAAAAAUGUGGACGAAAAAUGAUUUUUUGAACAAAACUUAUUAUUGUA